GAUGAACGCUGGCGGCGUGCCUAAUACAUGCAAGUCGAGCGAACGGACGAGAAGCUUGCUUCUCUGAUGUUAGCGGCGGACGGGUGAGUAACACGUGGAUAACCUACCUAUAAGACUGGGAUAACUUCGGGAAACCGGAGCUAAUACCGGAUGAUAUUUUGAACCGCAUGGUUCAAAAGUGAAAGACGGUCUUGCUGUCACUUAUAGAUGGAUCCGCGCUGCAUUAGCUAGUUGGUAAGGUAACGGCUUACCAAGGCAACGAUGCAUAGCCGACCUGAGAGGGUGAUCGGCCACACUGGAACUGAGAAAAGGGCCAGACUCCUAAGGGAGGCAGCAGUAGGGAAUCUUCCGCAAUGGGCGAAAGCCUGACGGAGCAACGCCGCGUGAGUGAUGAAGGUCUUCGGAUCGUAAAACUCUGUUAUUAGGGAAGAACAUAUGUGUAAGUAACUGUGCACAUCUUGACGGUACCUAAUCAGAAAGCCACGGCUAACUACGUG
rnacentral:rRNA from 1 species